rnacentral:lncRNA from 1 species
AUGCGGGUGGCAUAUUGUUAAAUCAAAUAGACAAAUAUAAUACUAUUCUAACAAUAAUUAAACAAUGACUAAGCGAAUUCCUUACAAUUAUUUUACGUUAAUUCACUCUAAAUUUAACAAUAGUAAAUUUCAACAUUCUUUUGAUAGCAUCAUAAAAAUAAUAACAAUGGAAAUCAUUCAAACACAUAUAAAAGUUGAGCAAUUUUAUAUUAUUGGAAUCAAGUCCCACAUGAUUGUGAUGUUAUUCUAUACAAAGAAAAAUUAAAAAUUACCUCUUGACGAAAGUAAUAUACAAUCAAAAGAAAGAAAAAGCUAUGAACUCGGAAUCGCGAGCGAAAC